rnacentral:rRNA from 1 species
CCUACGGGCGGCAUCAGUGGGGAAUAUUGGACAAUGGGCGAAAGCCUGAUCCAGCCAUGCCGCGUGUGUGAAGAAGGCCUUCGGGUUGUAAAGCACUUUCAGUGGGGAAGAAAGCCUUGGGGCUAAUACCCUCGAGGAAGGACAUCACCCACAGAAGAAGCACCGGCUAACUCCGUGCCAGCAGCCGCGGUAAUACGGAGGGUGCGAGCGUUAAUCGGAAUUACUGGGCGUAAAGCGCGCGUAGGCGGUCUGAUAAGCCGGUUGUGAAAGCCCCGGGCUCAACCUGGGAACGGCAUCCGGAACUGUCAGGCUAGAGUGCAGGAGAGGAAGGUAGAAUUCCCGGUGUAGCGGUGAAAUGCGUAGAGAUCGGGAGGAAUACCAGUGGCGAAGGCGGCCUUCUGGACUGACACUGACGCUGAGGUGCGAAAGCGUGGGUAGCAAACAGGAUUAGAUACCCUGGUAGUC